GCUAGCUGUUCGUACAUGUCCUAGGCUUACUAGCAAUUUACUCAGCAGAUCAGGCGGAUGGUCACCCAAAGUUCUAUGAAAGUUUUCGCUAGACGUGACUACAAUUUAGCGAACGACACAUGAAAGAUGAAACGUCUUUUUCUUAAAAAUUAAAUGUUUGAGACUUGAGAGUGCGUGAAAAUACUAGAAAUCAUCGAUAAAACCUACAAGGAAGCCAACCAACAACGGACAUUCUACUAUUUUGGCAGGAAAAGAAACUUCUCUUAAACGCUUACACUCCAAGUGGCGGCGUUGUUGAUGAAAAAGUACAUCGCGGGAAUCCCAAAAAGAAAUGCACAGACCAUGUGAAAUAUCGCGUGACACAAGAUCUUCUCGCCAUGCCACACUUUCAUGAAGAUGUAGAAAGUGAAAUACAAAAACAGAUUAGUGACGAGGAUUCCCAACAUGUAGGAAGCGAAAUCUGGAGGCCGGUACACCAAUCCAUACAUCGCCCAACCAAUAUUGAUGCGUCAGACAUUUGAUCAACACCGAUUAAGUCCGGAGAGGAACAUGAGAGUGAAUUAAGAAGUUCUGAUUCCACAUCCGUCGAGUCAAGAGUUGGACUAAUGGCAGCUUUGGAAUGUAAAGUAAAUUAUAGAAAUUAAAUUAUAAAAUUGAUUUUGAUUUAUUUUCUAAAUUACAAGCGGCUGUGGGACUAUGACUUGAAGCUGUGUUCUCUACUUCAACUAAACUCGGCUCCAGUAGUUCAGUGGGUAUGGUACUAUAGAAAAAAAGGACAACAAAAGAGACGAAAAAGCAUUAGCAUAUUGACGUGCAAUUAUUAAGGAAAUUACUUACUUUCCACAAUUAAAACAAAAUGAUACGAAAACUCCAAUAUAGAAAAUAGCAAAUAUUCCCAAAACUCCGAAAACAGCGUAUCUGUAAUUAUCGUAACUAACCUAAAUUCGAUCAGUGGAUAAAACAGAAAUUCGUCGUGAAACAACAAUACGCAAUUAUUGCGAUGAAGCUGUGCGCUUGCCUGUACAUUCAUAAUCGUCAGCCUUGACGACGAAAACAACGAAGAAUCCAUCGGGGAAUCGUUCUCGCUGAACAGAAUACAAACACCGAGGCGGGGACGAGAUUCAUAAAUUGGCCGCGCUGCUUCCCCAUAUCCGGUUCUCACAGUUUGGCACAUCUGCAUUCUGCAAAACUCGGCCAGUAUCAGUAAACCUCAAAGGCUCAAACACAAUAUGGCGUUUAAUUAAAGUAUG